CGAGGAAGCCAGCAGGAUGGGGAGCAGAGCCGGGGGCAGGGAGGGAGGGGCUGAGCCACCCACCUUGGGAAGCCUCGCAGGGGACAGCUGCAGGGGAGGCUGGUCAGAUCAAAAGGAGGGAGGCCAGCGGGGCUCUGCAGAGAUUCAGGUGGGGUGGGGGCUCAGCCGGCUGAGAAGUGGUCAGACUAGGAUGGUGCCGUGUGAGGAGGCCCGUCCACUACCGGGAGACAAGGUGGGCUGGACAAAGCCCUUGUGGCAGGACAAGGAUGGUGGUGGCUAGUGCAGCGAAGGUGCAGCAGCUCGCAAGGCGGUCCUGUGGCCUCAGCCUCCAGGUUGGGAGGCAGUAUGGGGGAUGGAGGCAGGAGGCCUGGUGGGCUGUCUGGAGGGGAAGGCCCUGAAGGGAGGGUCAGUCACUCCUACAGCACUGGGGACACGCAGAUUUAAAGGGAGGGCAUGGCCCCAGUUGUGUGUCGUGCCCUUGCAACACUUGGUGUGGGUGGCGCAAGCUCAGAGCAAGCGGAGUGCUAGCCUCCACCAGUGCUGUGGUUUGGUUGCACAAGUAAGAAGGGUUGGGGUGUCUGCAGAGGAGUGGCUGAGUGACAGACCAGGGACUCACAGUGGGCACAGAGAAGGUGCAGAAAAGGGGGUGCAGGGAGAGGGCAGAGCCCAUAGGCCACAGCAAGGUGUGAGCCCCUGCGUGUGGGAGUCUUGCCUCCUUGCCAGAGCCAGAAAGGGGGGCGCACCGGGAGCAAGAUGGCUGCUGCUUGCAGAGAGCCUAGGGGCUGACCCAGGCAGAGGGCAGCGGGUGGAGGCUCGGUCCUUGAGGGGAGGCCAUGGGGAGGUGGGGGACGCAGGAAUCACCAGCAGUUACACCUGGUACUGAAGUGGAUCGAUACUUCCGUGAGUGGAGUGGCUAGAGAAUCACUGUUCAGCCUCCUUUCCCAUUUGUUUCCAUAUGUGAUGUGAUGUGUGUGAGUGGCCCGUCACGGAGCCAUGGGUCAGGCUGGCCUUUCAGUCAGCUGCUCACUCUGCUUGGAGCCGACAGAAUAUAGUCAGCUACUCUUAAAUUUAAUGUCAUUCUGGCCAAACUACAGCUUGUUCAGUUGACCCAUAUUGGCUGAGUGCUUGCUGCACAAAGAACACUCGACAGGCUGCAGUAAUACAAAGCUAAGUGGGAACAGCGCGGCCCCCACAGAGUUCCCCGCCUGCAGGCCCAAGCAUCAGAGUACCUACUGAUAGAAUCCGGUGGGUGCCGCACAAGAGAGAAAUGGGGACCUGCGCGUUUUCAGGAUGGAGAAAGGCCAUUCCUUAGGAGGUACUGGGAAAAGAAGCUGGUUCUGCAGGAGGUUCAGUGCGGUGACUGGAGCACAGCUUUGAGGUCACCAGGGCCCGGCCCCAUGGUGAGCUCAAGAGUCCCUGUCUAUAAAUGUGGUGACACUCCAGCCCCCGCUUGUUGGACUGCACUUGGAGUUGUUUCUCCUCCUAGUAAUUCAUAAUUCCUGAACACUCUCCAUGUGUCCCCUUAUCUCACCCUACUGGCGACCCUCAAGGUUACAUCUGAUGGAAUAAUAACCACCGUGAAAAUGGUGUCUCUGAAGUUCUCAACAUCUUCUACUUCUUUAAAGUUCCCCUAGUCUCUUCAUGGUUAAAUGUUUUUCACUUAAGGAAUUACUUAGCCUUUGUUUAUUGAUAGCUCAAAGGCAGAACUUUAGUUUUAACUCCUUUUUGAAGCAUCAGAUAUUCUAAAUGGGUGAAAUCUGAAUUAAUGAGUUUUGGUUGAUACUUUGAAACUUGAAUAGGGUGCCCUUCCCCGCCCUUAUUCUUUGGAGACUGUCUGAGUUUUCUUCUUCAUCCUAGGAGCGUAAAUUGACUCCAUUUCUGCCUUUUAGUUACUCACCAAGAAUCCUGACCAACGCCUGGGUGCAAGGGCGACGGAGCAAAGGGUGUCAGAGGGCACCCUGUGUUCAAGGACAUUAACUUCAAGAGGCUGGAAGCACGCACGCUGGAUCCCCCUUUCUGUCCUGAUAUGAUCGGGUCAGAAUGCUUCAGGGACAUCAGUGAAAGUGAAAAUGAUGAAAAUGUGGCAUUAGUUCUGGAAAAGAAAACGUGUCAACCAGUUCCUAGCCCAAAAAGAGGCUUCUUCUAUAGGUUGCUCAGGAGAGGGGUAAGAGCAGGCGCCGGGCUUGGGGGGCUCCACCUGAGGUGCUGUGGGAAGAGAAAUGGUCCCCAAGGCAAAGACAGCUUUCUUUUCUCCUGCCUCUACAUAAGACACUUCACAGGGCCGAAGAGCCAGCCCUGGGGCACUCUGAGCCCAGCCAGAAAGUCCUCAGGAUGGGGUUGCUGUCGGGAUGAAACCUGUUCUCUGUCCGUGGUGAAGCAUUCGGCCCAGGCUGAGGGUCGUCACAGGCGGCAUGCGACAUUUCAGCUUCUGCAUGGCCCGCCCGGAUUGGCAGCUGCUCCCUGUAGCUUUCACAGGGAACGCUGAUGCUCUUUGGAAAAGGGACGGUGGUUUGGACAUACUUUCUGCUGUACCAUUACGUUUAGAAUUUUUUUCUCCAAGUGAAGUUUUUCUCCUUGGGCUAGAGGGUUGUCCCACUCUGUACCCUGCCUGUUCUCAAGGGCUUUAUUCAGAAGUUGUCCACUAGCAUUCUCAUACCUCUCUUUUCAGUGUUAAAAACAAGCCUUAGGUGGUAAAAUCUCUGAGAGUGCGUUUACCAUGCCCGCAUUUCCUCGGAGGGCUGGAGGCUUGGGGGAACUCACACCCUCACUCUCCGGGAAGCCCGGCUCUCGGGGUGCAGUGAGUCCUGCUGGAGGAGCUGCCCCCACCCCUGGAGGGGCCGUUCGGGGGUUGGGGGGCACAGCUGGUCAGCUGUAGCAAUGCUUGGUGCCUCUCCCCCGGCCUGAGCCAGGAGGGAGCCGGGUCCUCACUCCCUCAGAGCUCAGCUCUGGACUGAAUUCCGGAGCAUGCAAGGGCCUGAGGCAUUGGCGUGUGUGUCUGGGGACCGUGCAAUCCAUACGGUGAAGUACACAAAAGGAAAUACUUAAGGGUGUUGCCUGCCUACAGUCAGUCGCCAGGGGAGUUCGGCCUGCUUGCAUCAGAAAGCGACUGACAGCCAUCUGCAUGCGCUCCAGGGCUGCAUUGGUGCUGGCACCGGCGAGGAGCGGUGGCUCUCCGGAAGGCUGUGAUCCUCCCUGCCCAGACCGACCCCGACACCAGGGAGCACUUGCUCAGUGUUGUCCCAUCUGUGAAUUGCAAUAAACAUAUGACACGUCUUAAAACGUG